rnacentral:rRNA from 1 species
CGCGCAGGCGGUCGUACAAGUCGCGUGUGAAAGCCCCCGGCUCAACUGGGGAGGGUCACGCGAUACUGUUCGACUCGGAGGCAGGAGAGGGAAGUGGAAUUCCCGGUGUAGUGGUGAAAUGCGUAGAUAUCGGGAGGAACACCAGUGGCGAAGGCGACUUCCUGGCCUGUUCUUGACGCUGAGGCGCGAAAGCUAGGGUAGCAAAC